AUGGAGGUAAAACCGCUGCCCGGUCGCCCCCAGCCCGACUCCGGCAGUCGCCGUCGCCGCCGGGGGGAGGAGGGCCAUGAUCCAAAGGAACCAGAGCAGUUGAGAAAACUGUUUAUUGGUGGUCUGAGCUUUGAAACUACAGAUGAUAGUUUAAGAGAACAUUUUGAGAAAUGGGCACACUCACAGAUUGUGUGGUAAUGAGAGACCCCCAAACAAAACGUUCCAGGGGCUUUGGUUUUGUGACUUAAUCUUGUGGUGACUUAUUCUUGUGUUGAAGAGGUGGAUGCAGCAAUGUGUGCUCGACCACACAAGGUUGAUGGGCGUGUAGUGGAACCAAAGAGAGCUGUUUCUAGAGAGGAUUCUGUAAAGCCUGGUGCACAUCUAACAGUGAAGAAAAUUUUUGUUGGUGGUAUUAAAGAAGAUACAGAAGAAUAUAAUUUGAGAGACUACUUUGGAAAGUAUGGCAAGAUUGAAACCAUAGAAGAUAUGGAAGACAGUCAGAGUGGAAAAAAGAGAGGAUUUGCUUUUGUAACUUUUGAUGAUCAUGAUACAGUUGAUAAAAUUGUUGUUCAGAAAUACCACACUAUUAAUGGGCAUAAUUGUGAAGUGAAAAAGGUCCUUUCUAAACAAGAGAUGCAGUCUGCUGGAUCACAGAGAGGUCGUGGAGGUGGAUCUGGCAAUUUUAUGGGUCGUGGAGGAAACUUUGGAGGUGGUGGAGGUAAUUUUGGCCGUGGUGGAAACUUUGGUGGAAGAGGAGGCUAUGGUGGUGGAGGUGGUGGUAGCAGAGGUAGUUAUGGAGGAGGUGAUGGUGGAUAUAAUGGAUUUGGAGGUGAUGGUGGCAACUAUGGCGGUGGUCCUGGUUAUAGUAGUAGAGGGGGCUAUGGUGGUGGUGGACCAGGAUAUGGAAACCAAGGUGGAUAUGGUGGUGGUGGUGGAGGAUAUGAUGGUUACAACGAAGGAGGAAAUUUUGGCGGUGGUAACUAUGGUGGUGGUGGGAACUAUAAUGAUUUUGGAAAUUAUAGUGGACAACAGCAGUCAAAUUAUGGACCCAUGAAAGGGGGCAGUUUUGGUGGAAGAAGCUCAGGCAGUCCCUAUGGUGGUGGUUGUGGAUCUGGUGGUGGAAGUGGUGGAUAUGGUAGCAGAAGGUCCUAAAAACAGCAGAAAAGGGCUACAGUUCUUAGCAGGAGAGAGAGUGAGGAGUUGUCAGGAAAGCUGCAGGUUACUUUGAGACAGUCGUCCCAAAUGCAUUAGAGGAACUGUAAAAAUCUGCCACAGAAGGAACGAUGAUCCAUAGUCAGACAAGUUACUGCAGCUUAAACAGGAAACCCUUCUUGUUCAGGACUGUCAUAGCCACAGUUUGCAAAAAGUGCAGCUAUUGAUUAAUGCAAUGUAGUGUCAAUUAGAUGUACAUUCCUGAGGUCUUUUAUCUGUUGUAGCUUUGUCUUUUUCUUUUUCUUUUCAUUACAUCAGGUAUAUUGCCCUGUAAAUUGUGGUAGUGGCACCAGGAAUAAAAAAUUAAGGAAUUUUUAACUUUUCAAUAUUUGUGUAGUUCAGUUUUUCUACAUUUUAGUACAGAAACUUUAACAAAAUGCAGUUUUGAAGGUGUUUCCUUGUGAGUUAACAAGUAAAGAAGAUCAUUGUUAAUUACUAUUUUGUAUGAAUUUUGCUAAAGUUAACUGUAAAGAAACACCUGCUGACUUGCAGUUUAAGGGGAAUCUAGUCUCCCCAUUUCCAAACCAUGAUAUGAAUGGGCGCUGACAUGUGGAGAGAAUAGAUAAUUUGUGUGUUUGCAAUGUGUGUUUUAGAUAAAUAGGAUUGGGUAUUUAAAUUAUCAUUUGUGAAUUUAAUAGCAUUAAGAUUACCUUCAAAUGAAAAAAAUCUCAAAAUUAAAAAAA